ACAGAGGUGUAAUUUGAAGAAAGAAGUCGCAUUCAAAUUCAAAGGACAUCCAAACACACCCUUAAUAUCAAGUAUUGGGCAAAAUGAAUGGCUAUGGUUUUCUUGUAUGCAUUUGCGGCACAACAUGUGAUUAGCAAAGUACUCAAAUACUUGGGUAAUAGCAAGGAUCUUCUGUUUCCAAAAAAAUUGUUCACUUGUUCUAAAUCACUUACAACUAUUAAAUUAUUUUAAAAUUUAAAAAUUUUAAAAUAUAUUCAAUUAUGAGUGAUUUGGGACAUGACGAGAAAUUUUUAGAGACGUGAGAUCCUUGGGCCUUGGGUAAGAGCAUCUCCAGCAGCUUGGCUAUUCUUUCCUUUUAGCCAUAGAAGCGAGCUUGGAAGGGUAAAACAUUGCUCCAGCAGACUCGCUCAAAGAUCGCUACAAUGGUGGUGAGCUACAGUACCUCGCCAGGACAAGCGAGGUGAAUAUAUGGGUUCAGAGAUUGAAAUUGUUGAGGAGAGAUUGAAGUCUUUCCUUGGUCAACUCCAAACAGAAUGUGGCAUCCAUGAUAGAAGUUUCCUUGGAUCAUUUGGGUUCUGUGACAUAUAAGGUUAAUGAUCAAUUGGAUGAAAAGGUUGAUGAAGUUUCUGGAACAGAGUUUUGGGUAUCUUGUAUUGAAUAGGUUGUCAUCACAAAAUGCUACCAUUCAACCUUGUGCAAAUUGGGCUGGAUUUGCGGGUCCUAGUUUUAGGUUAUUGAUUUCACAUAGUUUGUCAAGUUUAGUGUAAUUAUGUAGUUUGAAAUUUUCAUUGACUGUUGAGCAACUGGAUUAUUUCCAUUUAUUAUUUGUAGUUUUUUUUUCUAAAUUAGUCCAGUGCUAGUCCAUGGAAGUAGGGUCAUCAUGUCAGUGAGGGUUUGAAUUGUCUCAAAUUUGGAACGUAGUUUGAAUUUUUAGAUCACCAUGCUUUUUGGUACAUAGAUUCUGGAACAUAUCAUUGUAUUAUUUUGGUUGCUUUAUAAUAGUAUCUUGUAAAA